GAGGAAAGUCCGAACACCCCUUCAUUUGAAGGAGAGAUAGUCGCUAACAGCGACGGGCACAAAAGUUGCGAGACGCGCUUAUAACAAAUGGCGAAUGGCAAAUAACUCUGGUUAUUCGUUAUUUGUUCAGAGUUAUUGGUGCGAUCAAACGGCUUAAGGCCACGGAAAGUGCAACAGAAAAUAUACCGCCACGCCCUUUUGGUGAAAAUCAAAAGGCGGGGUAAGGGUGAAAUCGUGAGGUAAGAGCUCACGUCCCGAUAUGGUGACAUAUCGGGGUGGAAAACACCUAUCCGGUGCAAGGGUAACCCCCGCUUGAGGUUCCGAGCAAUCGGAAUCCCAGAGAAAUGAUCAUCACUCGCCCUUUUGGUGAAAAUCAAAAUGGCGGGGACAGAAUUCGGCUUAUCGGCUGGCUUCAAAG
rnacentral:RNase_P_RNA from 1 species